GACGAACGCUGGCGGCGUGCUUAACACAUGCAAGUCGAACGAAGUGGCGAACGGGUGAGUAACGCGUAAUCAACCUGCCCUUCAAAGGGUGACAACAGUUGGAAACGACUGCUAAUACCGCAUACUGAGGAUGGAGACUGCGUUUGAUUAGCUAGUGGGAGGGGUAACGGCCCACAAAGGCGAUGAUCAGUAGCCUGUGUGAGAGGGUGAGCGGCCACAUUGGGACGGAGACACGGCCCAGACUCCUACGGGAGGCAGCAGUGGGGAAUCUUCCGCAAUGGACGAAAGUCUGACGGAGCAACGCCGCGUGAGUGAUGACGGCUUUCGGGUUGUAAAGCACUUUCAGCGGGGAGCGUUACCCGCAGAAGAAGCAACGGCUAACUCCGUGCCAGCAGCCGCGGUAAUAC
rnacentral:rRNA from 1 species